GACGUAGGAUGCAAGCGUUGUCCGGAAUUAUUGGGCGUAAAGAGUUCGUAGGCGGUUGCCUAAGUCUGGUGUUAAAGCCCGAAGCUCAACUUCGGCAUGGCAUUGGAAACUGGGCGGCUAGAGUGCGGUAGAGGUCUCGGGAAUUCCAGGUGUAGCGGUGAAAUGCGUAGAUAUCUGGAGGAACACCGGUGGCGAAAGCGCGAGACUGGGCCGUAACUGACGCUGAGGAACGAAAGCCAGGGGAGCAAAAGGG
rnacentral:rRNA from 1 species